rnacentral:lncRNA from 1 species
GAGUAAAACCUUUUAUGAUUAUAUGUUACUUUUAUCAUUGCAGUGUUAAGGUGUCCAAAUAGUUGUCAGUUUUGACCUCCUUAAAUUCUUUAUCAAUUUGCAGCCCAAAAGACAAAGUCAACUGAUGAUAAUGAAAAACCUAUGUGGUCUUCAAAUGAAGGAUGAUUAUAUAUUGCAAGUAGCUUAGUAUAAUAUCUAAAUUAGGAUUCUUUCCAAUCAGUCACCCUAUUUUACGACCUUGAACGGCUUUAGGAAAUUUUGUUUGAUUAUCUAAUGCACAUUUUAAAUUAAAUUUAAUUAUUCCCUCAGAAUGAAGGAGAGAUAACCAACUAAAUUUCCAGAUCUGAAGGUUCCAAGGAUUGAUUGAAUCAAUCAGAAACAUGUGGACCUAGUAUUUAUCACUAAAAUAUUACUUGUAUAUUCAUAAAUACCUGUCAUUUAAAUACUUUUUAAAUAUAGAUUACUACACCUUCUGCUUUCUAGAAAGAACAAAGGUGAACUCUGCAGAUGAAUAGUGUCCUGAUUGAAGACUCUCAGAAUUCCAUCAGAAGAAGACUAAGGAGAAGGGUGAGAAUUAUAAGUCACAACUGCCUAAAAUCAGUGAACUGAAAAUGUAUGAACAAGAAAAUACAGAAAAUAUAAUUACACUUCACUGUUUCAGGGAUAGAAACAUGAAAAUGGCUGCUUAUAAUCAAAGAAAAGACAUUUGGAAGCUCUUAGAAGGAGCCAGUUCUGCUAACACCAUGAUCUCAGAGUUCUUGCCUUCCAAAUUGUGAUAAAACAGAUUUCUCUUUGAGCCAUCCAGCUUAACAACAGCUACAGCAGCCACUGAACAUUAACAUAUGGAGCAUACACAAGGUCUAGACAUGAUGAACCAUUAACUACUUUCUUCAUCAUUUUGGAUCUACUAUAAUAUGUUGGUAUGCUGUUUCCUUGGCUUCUACUUUUCUUCUUACCACCCCA